CCAAUCCUCACAUGCUACAAGCCCUAUCAAACACUGGCGUUGAAGCUAUUGUUAUUCAGGUUAUGGACCAUGUAUAUUUGCAGGAAGGUGAGAAUGUGAAUCACUUAUACAUCAAUUAUUAUGAAUUGGAGUUACAAGUAAAUUUUUAUAUUCUUAUAAAACUAACUUUGGGAUUGAAUAUUUUUAAAUCAGUUCUAAUGCAAGCAGUGGUGGUGAUGAGAGCUUUUCUUCUAUGGCAUUUGGACCUGUAGGUCCUGUUGAUGCAAGUUUGAAGCUGCAAGUGUGUAGCCUUCACUAUGUACUCUCUUCUACUAGUCUACUUUUGGCUUUGAUGUUGUUCUGACUAGAAAGUUGAUGCACUUUUAGCCAAGCAACUAGGGAACAAGCUAUGAUCCUUAGAGAACAAACGAGAUGCCUGUGCAGGAAAGGAAGGGCGGGGGGUUUUACUCGAGAACAACAAGACGACCUCAAUGAGAUUUUGGUACCGUUUGAUGAUGUUUCCAAGAGCCUAAAGGGUUGCCUCCUAAAAGGGAGAAGAACAUUCCAUCAUACUCGAUGCAGGGAAAUGAAUAAUGAAUGUUAGGCAGUAUUAAUAACCAGAUGAAUGAGAUAGAGCGGCAGGUUCAAGAAGAGGGAUGAUUCAUGGCAGAUGUGUGUGGACCACUCAGCACUCAAUAAGGUAAAUGUUCCAAAUAAGUUUCCCAUACCGAUUAUAGAUGAGUUAAAUGAUGAAUCAUGUGGAUUGUACUUCUUUUUCUAAAUUGGGUUUGAAAUAGUGAUAUCACCAAAUUUGAGUCAAUCCGGAGGAUGUGCGCAAAAUUGUGUUUAGGCCAGCCAACAUGACUUCCACAUGACUUCGCAGGGGGGACACUCUAUAAAUUCCACAUGACUUCGCAGGGGACACUCUAUAAAUUCCACAUGACUUCGCAGGGGGACACUCUGGUUUUUACCAGACAUAGAAGAGACUGACAACUGAUGUGUACUGGAAAGGGAAGGUUCGGGAGUGCAUAAUGCAAUGUCUGCCAACUCUAGAAAUACUUGGCUACAUCACAAGUAGGAUUGUUAUCGCCGAUGUGGUUGCCUGAUGUUAUAUGGGUGGAAAUGUCUAUGGACUUUAUAACUUAACUGCCAAAGUCUAAAAGAUUCAAAGUUAUGUUUGUGGCCAUUGAUACCACUUAAACAUCCAUACACCACACGAAGGGAGACAAAAAGUAAUGUUGAAGAAAAUGAUAUAAACAAUUACAAAUUGAAUAAAUUGAUGUCUCUAUCAUCAUAUCAUAGUCUCUAUGGAACUUAGACUAAUCUAGUCCUAGUUUCAAAUUUGAAUCUUUGUGUUUUUCUUGAAAAGAAAUUUGGCAGAAGUAUAUUUUGGUUACCAUAAUCAAAAUAAGUUCGAAAGAACAUAUACGAAUUAGAUUUCUAAGAAAAAUUGAUUAACCUAGUAUAUAUAUAAACAUACUUAAUAAAUGAAUAAGCAUGCAUAUAACUAAGAAAUAUUAUUUACCUUGGAGUUUAGGUUUUAAUGGAACACGAUUGGACAAUAGGCGGUCCAUCUUUGGUAAACCGUUUCCAGACCUGGGCCUGGAAAGUUAUAAUAGGGCUGUUGAAAGGAUCAACAUGUGUGGCAGCAUCUUUUUGCUUCAAAGGUAAUGUAAUAAGUAAUAAAAGAGUGUGAUAUCGGCAUGCUUUGACAAGGUUAUGAACUGGUAAUCUGAACCCUAAUAAACAACAGUAGAUUAACAAAUAAGUUAUAGAAUGAAUACACAUAUAUGCGUAUAGUUAGAUUGGUGGUUAAAUAGUUUUGAACCUGGUCAUUAUUGUACGUUUUCAA
rnacentral:lncRNA from 1 species